GCUCCGGUAGCUCAAUUGGAUAGAGCAACAGCCUUCUAAGCUGUGGGUUGGAGGUUCGAGUCCUCCCCGGGGCG
rnacentral:tRNA from 1 species